UCUGGAGUUAAGAUGCGCUGGGAAGUCAGGUCAUGGCUCCCCUUCAGUAGGCUGAACAAAGGGCACAGCUCUUCUCUCGUGAGUCCAAGCAGUGGUCGGAUCCAGGUGAUGGAGCCACACAACGGCUGUAAGUCCCUUAGCGUUUGAGCCUUAUCUUUGAUGGAGAUACUUUGGGAAAUAAUGGCUGGCUCACUGAUUAGGAAUCCAAGGUAUUUCCAUGGGGAGGUCUACUGGGUUUUUCAGGAGCAAUAUCAAAACCUGCAUCUUCAACUGCUGUCAUAGUCUUUCUGAUCACUGUGUUAAGGUAAGUCUUGGCUUGGGAGCAAAUUAAAAUGUCGUCCAUAUUUUGCCGAAUUAUAGCUUCAGGGAAGGCUUUCCUGAUUGGAGAUAUAAUCCCAGCCACAAACAUUUGACAUAAAGCAGGGGAAGUUUUCAUUCCCUGUGGCAAUGUGACCUAAUGAUAUCUUUUAAAGGGUUCUUGACAGUUGAUGAUCGGUAUGGAAAAUGUGAAUUUGGGAGUGCGGGACGGAGAGGGAUGUUGAAUAAGCAGACUUUGAUAUCAAGGAUUGUGAGCUGCCAGUCCCUGGGAAGCACAGAAGGUGAGGGGAGGCCUGGUUGCAAGGGGCCCAUGUCUUCUAAAACAUCAUUUACUUUCCAAAAGUCUUGUAAUAACCUCCAUCUGUCUUUGCCAGGUUUUUUAUAAAAAGACAGGGGUCAGGGGCUAGUUGAUGGUACAAUGUGUCCUUUUAAUAAUUGUUCUCACACUAGGGCGUGGUGUGCUUCUAAUUUGUCAUUUGGAAGGCCCAAUGAUCCACCCACACAGGAUCAUACCCACAGGGAGGGAUCAUACCUUUUCCCACAGAUGGACAACAGCCAUAUUGAGUGGUUUAGUUUUCAUUUCUUUUUAAUUCCCAAGUUUCAUUUUUAACAUUGUAAUACAGCAUCUCUAUUCAAAUCAUUAUACUCACCUUGGUUAAUUAAAUAUUUAUUAAUUUAUUUUCCCCCCAUAAUAUCAGACAAAAGCAUAGGACAAAAGCAUAGGAAGAACAACAAGCAAUUACAGAAAUACAGUAUCUUCCCUGAGAAUCCCUUGGAAACCAUGGUAAAACAAUGGGAAGAAUAUCAACUUACUAAAGAUAAAGACCCACAGCUCAAGAUUGUAAAUUGCAUGUUUGAAUGGCCAAAGAAGAAAUUAAAACAAGGUCUGCGCUGGCUGAAGCAUGGGUCUACCAGGAUGUGGAUUUGCAAAGUACUUUACAAUUACGUCCAAAAUAAAUUAAAUGCAGACUUGGAUUGCAGUAUGUGGAGGUCUGGUUUAAAUAUUAGAACAGCGAAAAGGAAGUAGAAACAGAUAAAACAAACCAAAUUCUCUCUGUAAUGAUCAAUGAUAAAGACACAACAAGGAAAACCAAUCAACCAAGGUGGGACUCAUUAAAUUUCGUCCCCCCUACUGCACCUCCUAACGAACCAGCUGCAACUGCAGGUGAGUCAUUGGAGGCUUCAACGACUCAUGUAACUGAGAGGGCUGAAGAAGUUGAAAGUAGCAGUGGGACAUCAGAAGAAAGGUAUAUUCUAUCAUCAUCCUCCAGGCAAAUUACAAAUUCAGCCAUGCAGGAAGUUCCAUCCAAUCAAGAAGGUCCAGGCUUCUUCACUUGAAGGAGAACCCUAGCAGUACAAAAAUGUUCCUCCUGCUCCAGCAGUAAAGAUAAAACAAAGCAGGUAACAACUUACUUGGUCGGGAUCUCCAGAUACCUUUGAAAGUUGGAGUAGUUCCACAAGAAGGAAGGAUGAAGGUCAAAUUGUUUACUUUAUCCACACAAGAUGAACAGCUGAUUAUUCCCACAGUGUAGGCCCGAACAGGUAGCCAGGAUAAAAUGAACUUUACGCCCAUUCUAAUUAAUCUCCUUCCAGGCAUUAAACCAGCAAAAGUACCCCAGCACCCCCUUACAAAGACCAAAAGGUAUGGGCUAAAACCCAUAAUAACUGAACUGUGACAUGAUAAUAUACUAGAGCCAUGUACUUCCCCAUACAACACCCCAUUCUUGCUAUUAAAAAGCCUGACAAUAGCUACAGGCUAGUUCAAGACCUACGUGAAGUAAAUAAAAGAGUGCAAGCUCUGUGCCUGUUAGUACAAAACCCUUACACCUUGUUAAGUUAUCACCUAUGCACUCUUGGUUCUCAGUAACUGACCUGGAGGAUGCAUUUUGGUCAUGCCCUGUAGAUUCUCCUUCUAGACACCUGUUUGCCUUCACCUGGGAAGAUCCAGACACUGGAAGGAAACAGCAGCUCACCUGGACCUGGCGACUGCAAGGGUACAUGGAGUCUCCCACACUCUUCGGUCAGGCCUUGAAGAGCCUGUUCAUUUCCUUUUCUCCACCCUCAGGAAUACAAGUAACACAGAGAAACAACAUGAAUAGAACCAAGGCCAGUUCCAGGCAGGACUUUCCUGCAUUUAGGUCCCUUCCUGCAUCCAGGUACACUCCCAUGACAACCAAGGGGUUCGAACCCAGGUCUGCACCACCUAUCAGAGAGUACCACGGCACUUCAAUCUUCCCAUUGACCCCUAGGGAAGGGGAGGUGCGCCCUACUCCUCAUACUCUCCCUCUGGAUCCAGUAGAUCCCCCUUGUCAGAGCCUGCGUCCGCUGCCACCAAUGCUAACAUACUGUGUACCUGACCAAAGGGAACUCCUACCUCAUAAAACACUCAUUCCAGGCACAUACUUUUGUAAAUCCCUUUUGUUAUAAUAUGAUGACACUGAGUAGAUACUGACAAUCAGGCAAAAAUCAGUGGAUUGGUAGAAAUAUUGGAAAUACAAACCAGAAAACGAAUGGAGAGUGCCCUGAUCAAGAGAUUUGGCUAUAUGUCAAAUUUAAUUAUACAACGAAAAAGAAGGAUUUGUGGAAAAGGAAAACUUAUGAUGUUGAUUUGAUUUGAGAAAUUGUAAUAACUGAAAGGGGGAAACAAAAGGGGGACAAUCCAUUAGCUACCGAUAAAAACUUAUUUAUUGUUUUAGCAGAACAAAUUAGUAAAAAUCAAAAUAUAACCAAUUGUUGGGUUUGUGGAGGCACCUUCAAAUCAGAAGCCUGGCCUCAGCAAGGAGUCAGUACUGGACCCCUCAAAUGACUUAAACUAAAUUAUUUCCCCUCCCAAACUCCAAGAGAUCAAGACAAUUGGCUAUUGAGGGACACAGUUCUUGGAGAAGAAUGUAUCUGGAGAAAAGGAAAAAGAUACACUGAGGAUGUUGUAGAAACUACCUGUAAAAGAUAUUUAUUAACUGAGGAUCACAAGACGUGGUGGAUACUGAGCGAACCAGAUACCUUUUGGUCAAAGAAGAAAAUCAGAAACAAGAACUGCAUAUUACAUCCCAAUGAACAACUUUAUCAGUGCUGGAACCCUAAAAGUCAGCCUUAUUCAGUAUUACCCCAAGUUUCUAAGUAUUGGACCUCCACUUUUAUCACGCUUUCACAUUUUUGGGAGGCUCCCCAAGGUUUACACUGGAAUUGUGGGAAAAGAGCAUAUUCUAAACUCCCUUCUCACUGGUGUGGCAAUUGUACCUUAGGAGCAAUACGACCUAGUCCCUUUCUACUAUCAGAAGCAGCUGGAAACCAGCUAGAAGUUUGCCUAGAUGAUAAAUUUAAGAGACAAAAAGAUGUGAAAUAGGGGGAAUGCAACAAUGGGGCAAGGAAGGGUGGCCAUCAGAGAGAAUUUUAGAAACUUAUGGACCUGCCACUUGGGCUCAGGACGGGAGCUGGGGCUAUCAAACUCCCAUUUACAUGCUAAAUUGCAUUGUUAGACUACAAGCCCUGAUUCAAGUCAUAUCUAAUCAGGCCAAGAGUGCAACUGAUCUUUUCAACGCCCAUCAGAAGCAAAUGAAAACAGCUGUAUUUCAAAACUCUUUAGCCCUAGAUUAUUUAUUAGCCAAAGAGGGUGGAAUAUGUGGCAAUUUCAACACAUCAGACUGUUGCCUGCAUAGUGAUGACCAUGGUGAAACUAUUACUAAAAUUACCCAAAACAUCAGAAAGCUUACACAUGUUCCAGUCCGGUUUUCCCUCACUACACCUGAAAAGUAGAAAACUAUGUUCUCUGGGGAGUGGUGGAAAAAAGCCUUAAUUAUUUUUGAAGUUUCCUUAGUUAGCCUUCUCUUUCUCCCCUGCUUAAUCCCAUGUUUCAUUCAUCUAAUUACCUCACUAGUACAAAGCAUUCCCGCUAUUCAAAAUCUUCAAAUGAGCCAACAUUCUACCCCUCCUGUCAAGAGAAUCAUGAAUCUCAACCCAAUCAAAAAGAUAGGAAAAUGGGUAAAAAGGCCCAGGAAGUUUAGGUUAAUUCUAAACAAUUAAACACUAUCAACGAAAAACUAUCCACAUUUGUGUAAAUGCAAAAGCCAAUUAUUAACAUAAGGGGAAAAGGGAGACAUUGCAAUUUAUAAAACCCCUUAAAUGGCUUCUGCAUUAGUGACUGGUUUACAUUUGUAACCGUUAAUUAGCUUUUGCAUUUAUAACUGUUUAAAGUUACUAGUUUGAUCAAAUAAAAGUGUUCAAGUUAAUGAAGUAAAUAUUUUAAAAUCAUUAUAAAGUUAUACUAGAUAUUCAGUACAUUCCAAUUGAAUGUUUAACAGUCCUGUUAAAAUAGAUAGCAAAAUAAGAACCGUAUUAUUUUUAUAAUCCUUUGUUCUUCACCUAAUUACAUUAUUUGUAAAUUUAAUGAUCUCUUUUAAGUAGCCUUAUACUUUCAAAGGUCCCAGUGCAGUUUCCUCUCACCAACAGCAUGCAGCAUUUUACAGACAAUUCCUAACCCACUCCAGGUUGAACUGGUAACUUGGUGCCAUAGCAACUGUGCAUACUAAUGAGAGAGCUUCCCAUCAAAAACCUCAGAGAUAUCAUCCCACCCCAGUGACAGCACACUCUGGGAAAGAAGAUCUUACCUCAUCAUCUACUAGCACCAAUCACCUGAGACUGUGGGGGCAGGACUCCAAGUACAGACUGAGGGGACCGAGAACAUCAAAGGGGCAGCCUGGCCUGAAGAGCUGUCUUUGCUGUCUUUUACUGUUCCUGGGACUGUGACUUAGCUACAGCAGGGGACCCCACACUGCAGAUUUUGGUCAAUAUCUCUUUUUAGAGACCUUUUUCCAGAUUUGAGGGCAGACUAAGUGCAUUCACUGAAAUGCCCUUGGGUUCUUGCCUUGGGGCCAGACGCCAGUUCGGCUAGAGGUUUCCUCAAUCCUUGGGCCUGGGACUUUAUCCUUUUUUCUUUCUUUCCUUUCUUCUUUUUCCUUACCUCCCCUUUGUUUUUCCCCUUUAA